GACGAACGCUGGCGGCGUGCUUAACACAUCCAAGUCGAACGGUGAAGCCCUUCGGGGUGGAUCAGUGGCGAACGGGUGAGUAACACGUGAGCAACCUGCCCCUGGCUCUGGGACAACCACUGGAAACGGUGGCUAAUACCGGAUACGACCCGCCUCGGCAUCGAGUGUGGGUGGAAAGUUUUUCGGCUGGGGAUGGGCUCGCGGCCUAUCAGCUUGUUGGUGAGGUGAAGGCUCACCAAGGCGACGACGGGUAGCCGGCCUGAGAGGGCGACCGGCCACACUGGGACUGAGACACGGCCCAGACUCCUACGGGAGGCAGCAGUGGGGAAUAUUGCACAAUGGGCGAAAGCCUGAUGCAGCGACGCCGCGUGAGGGAUGACGGCCUUCGGGUUGUAAACCUCUUUCAGCUCCGAAGAAGCGAAAGUGACGGUAGGAGCAGAAGAAGCACCGGCUAACUACGUG
rnacentral:rRNA from 1 species